ACUCAACUGAAGAGUCCCAAAUACGACGAAACAAGGGUCCUGGAU
rnacentral:hammerhead_ribozyme from 1 species